rnacentral:rRNA from 1 species
GAGUUUGAUCCUGGCUCAGAUUGAACGCUGGCGGCAUGCCUUACACAUGCAAGUCGAGCGGCAGCGCGGGGGCAACCCUGGCGGCGAGCGGCGAACGGGUGAGUAAUGCAUCGGAACGUGUCCUCUUGUGGGGGAUAAACCAGUCGAAAGACUGGCUAAUACCGCAUGAGAUCGCGAGAUGAAAGCAGGGGACCGCAAGGCCUUGCGCGAGAGGAGCGGCCGAUGCCGGAUUAGCUAGUUGGUGGGGUAAAAGCCUACCAAGGCGACGAUCCGUAGCUGGUCUGAGAGGACGACCAGCCACACUGGGACUGAGACACGGCCCAGACUCCUACGGGAGGCAGCAGUGGGGAAUUUUGGACAAUGGGGGCAACCCUGAUCCAGCCAUGCCGCGUGUGUGAAGAAGGCCUUCGGUU